rnacentral:piRNA from 1 species
ACCCUGGACUGUGAGCCCAAGUGU